AAAAAUUCCUGCCCUGCCCAGGACUUAAGUGCUCCUCACAGGCCCCGCCUGCGGCCCACGUUUUCUGGCAGCGACCGGGCGGAGUUUCUUGCAGACCCGGAAGCGGCCAAGGUAGAGAGAAGGCCUGGUUGGCGACCGUGACUUUCAGUGUUUGUGGUUUAAUUCUGAGCGUCUCAGUCCACCGUCCUGCACUCCUGACGCCUGGGGAUCAGUACCGACGUUGAAGUCCCCGCACCCGCGCCCCCUACAGCGGAGCUUCUUCUCCCUGACCUGUGAGAAGGGACAGAAAGGGGCGACCUUCUCAGCAUUUCAGGGUCCUUCUGGCUGUCAGUUUGGAGGAAGUAGAUGAAGGGUCUGAGCUGACGCCCUUGUGGGCACAUUCUCAAGAUGCAGAUGUGAUUCCUCCCCAGAACUUCACCUGAGGAAACAACCCAGAGCCGAAAUGGCUACUUCUCAGGGACAGUUGACAUUCAUGGAUGUGGCCAUAGAUUUCUCUCAGGAGGAGUGGGAGUGCCUGCACCCGACUGAGCGGGAACUGUACAUGGACGUGAUGCUGGAGAACUACAGGAACCUGUGCUCCCUGGGUGAGGGAACUUCCUUCCAGAACUCUUACCCCACCGCAGGGGUGUGUUUCCUUCAUCAGUACAG